rnacentral:rRNA from 1 species
GCCUACGGGGGGCAGCAGUAGGGAAUUUUCGUCAAUGGGCGCAAGCCUGAACGAGCAAUGCCGCGUGAACGAGGAAGGUCUUCGGAUCGUAAAGUUCUGUUGAAGGGGAAAAAGAGCGGAGAGAGGAAAUGGUCUCCGAUUGAUAUUACCCUUCGAGGAAGUCACGGCUAACUACGUGCCAGCGGCCGCGGUAAUACGUAGGUGGCGAGCGUUAUCCGGAAUGAUUGGGCGUAAAGGGUGCGUAGGCGGCCUGCUAAGUCUGGAGUGAAAGGUACCGGCUCAACCGGUACAGGCUCUGGAAACUG